rnacentral:rRNA from 1 species
CGGAGGGUGCAAGCGUUAUCCGGAUUUACUGGGUUUAAAGGGUGUGUAGGCGGGCUGUUAAGUCAGUGGUGAAAUCUCCGGGCUCAACCCGGAAACUGCCAUUGAUACUAAUGGUCUUGAAUAUCGUUGAGGUAGGCGGAAUAUGUCAUGUAGCGGUGAAAUGCAUAGAGAUGACAUAGAACACCAAUUGCGAAGGCAGCUUACUAAGCGAUGAUUGACGCUGAGGCACGAAAGCGUGGGGAUCAAACAGGAUUAGAUACCCUGGUAGUCCACGCCCUAAACGAUGAUUACUCGACAUACGCGAUACACAGUGCGUGUCUGAGCGAAAGCAUUAAGUAAUCCACCUGGGAAGUACGUCCGCAAGGAUG